CUGGGUUUGUCCUGUUGGGCGCCACGUCCCAGCCGCCGGCCUUCCACGUGGCAAACGCUAGGGGCAUCGUGAACGCGGCCGUAACGCUGCCAUUCAUGGUCAUGAUCCCUCGUGGCCCUGACGCGAGGCAAAACCUCCCCGGGCCCUCCGGGUACCGGGCGACUAACUUCUGGCGAAGCACGGAGUUGGUCCGCGAACCCCCGGUCAGGCUCCUGUUACUGAAGGAACCGUCCUUCCACCAGAC
rnacentral:misc_RNA from 1 species